rnacentral:rRNA from 1 species
CAGUCGCCGCGGUAAUACGAGGGGGGCAAGCGUUGUUCGGAAUUAUUGGGCGUAAAGGGUGCGUAGGCGGUUUCGUAAGUCUGAUGUGAAAUCUAUGGGCUCAACUCAUAGUCUGCAUCGGAAACUGCGAGGCUUGAGAGUGGGAGAGGUGAGUGGAAUUUCCGGUGUAGCGGUGAAAUGCGUAGAUAUCGGAAGGAACACCUGUGGCGAAAGCGGCUCACUGGACCAUUUCUGACGCUGAUGCACGAAAGCUAGGGGAGCAAACAGGAUUAGAUACCCGAGUAGUCCCUGUCGCUUAUAC